CAGAUUGCUAGACUGGGUGGCUCGUCCUCACCUGUAACUGCAAACGGAUGUACGGCAGGGUUGAAGCCUGAGGGGCGGCGUAAUUUUAGUUAUAGGUCUUGGUUGGACCGUCGACGUCUUGUCCUUUAGGAUCAGGAUUUUUAUGAACUGAGUCAGAUCAGGAAUGAAGCAGCUCUAAGUAUUAAUCGUGGUGUCUAAGGGGUUGCAGGAUUGAGGAAAAAUCAAGGUAGCCUUUGAUUGGAGUUUUCGUCCACCUUCAGGCGUGCACUUUU
rnacentral:SRP_RNA from 1 species